rnacentral:tRNA from 1 species
UCCCUCGUGGCGCAAUUGGCUAGCGCGUUUGACUGUUAGGAGCUCGACUUCAAGCCGUAAUCAGGAGGUUGGUGGUUCAAGCCCACCCGAGGGAG